ACAUCACCUCUACUUCCAGUCUGGUUUUCUCGCCUAUAUUUCCUGCCUGGCCAAUCAGCGUUUUAUUAAAAUACAUGAUUGACAGAAUACAGAUAAGUCUCCUGCACCAGUACACUUAGGAAACAAUGUAAAAACUUAGUGCCAAAAAAUAAUGAAGAGUAAUGUUUGUCCAGUGCUAAAAAUGUACCAGCCAAUGUCCCUGUCCCCUCUCAUGUUCACUUAUUUGUGUCUCAACAGCAGAAGGUAGUUAUAAUCUAUUUUCCAAGGGAGAAAAUGAAUGCGCAGCAAAGCUUUCUUACCCAAGAUUAUGAUGUGCAAAUUAAAUAGAAUAGGUAGUCUGGCUCCCGGGUCAGCCAAGCUUCUCUCUCGAGUUGGUUUAUUUCUGUCGGAACGGGGGAGGGGGGCGGUCAGUUUGCCAGUGCACAGAGGCCAAAGCAAGAUGUCAGAUGGCCUGCCUUGUUCCCUGGAGACAGGGUCUCUCCCUGAACCUGGAGCUGUGUUGGUGACUAGCAAGCCCCAGAGAUCCCACACAACAGGGAUUUUUAUGUUGGUGCUAGGGACCAGAACUCAUGCUUAUGUAACACUGAGCCCAUCUCCCCAGCCUAGGAGGUUUACUUUAUAAUUUGAACAAUCUAAAAACAAAAGGCUAUUUUUGCAGUUAUAAAAGGUGCUCUUGAGGAGGGUCGGGGUAACUGGAGAAAUGACUCCGCGAUUAAAAGCACUUGCUGCUCCGGCGGAAGAUCUGAAUUUGGUUCUCGGCACCCAUUUGGCAGCUUAUACCCAUCCAUCAUAAGUCCAGUUCCAGGAGAGCCAAUCUCCUCUUCUGUCUGCCAUGGCACCAGGCAUGCAUGUGGUGCACAUCCACACAUGCAUGGAAACAAUUACAUAUAUUAAAUAAAUAAAAUAGAUGUUCCUCUAUUAAUUAACUAAUAAUUAAUUUUGUGGUGCUAGUGAUCAGAGCCUCGUGCAUGCUAAAGGAGUGAUCUGUCACUCUCCAUCCAACCCUAAAGAUGUUCUUCUAAAAGUUUCAACGAUGGCUCAACAGGUAAAAAGGUGCUUGUCAGCAAACCUGCUGCCGUGAGUUCGAUUCCUGGGGCUCUGUGAGUGGAAAGAGAGUACUAACUCCCAAAGUUGUCUUCUGACCUACACAUGGACACAAAAUACAUUUUUUUUUAAUCCUUAAAAAGUUCAGGGCAGCCAAAAAUAAAUAAGUAAAUAAAUUGGACGACUGCGCUGCAAAGGCGUUUCUGUGCUUUCCUGCUAUAGGAGGCUGAUAACGGAGGCUCAGAGACACUGCGGUGCAGGGACUAAGAUGAGGGCUGAGUAAAGGUUUUAUCCUGGUGGCUGUUGGGUUCUAGGAUAAUGAUUUACCAGGACAAUGACUUGUACAUUCCUCCUUUAGUGUCAGACUGCUUCUGCCAAAUAAAGUCACGCUGGGGACACAUUGCAGCUCGCUGGCGUCCUAAGCAUUCGCUAGACUUAAACCAAUGUGAUCUAUGGUGGUGCGGGCAUUACUGAAGUUGUCCUCGGGUUUUCUGCCCUCUGAUGGAAUUUGGUCCCACUUUUUCAGCUUGUGUUGAGCAAUAGGCAACACUCAGAAAAGGUCAGGAGUCCUCUUCUGACCAAGUGCUUUCUUGUUUUUUUUAAAUGUUGGAACAAGAUGUAAAAUUUUAGGUUGAUUUGGUAUAACCCUGGAAUAAAAUCAGAAGUGUGGAAUUAAAUUGCCCAGGAAAGGACAAUUACAUUCUCCUAAACCCCCAGAUGUCACUGGACAGAUAGGGGGUUGUACAUCACCCGACUGCUGUCUACGAAUCAAGAAGAUGUGCCUUUAAAUGAAGCAUGGGCCACCAAGGCGGUGGGCGGACCCUAUGAAGGGCUCUUACCUUGAAAACAGCAUGAUUGGCUUCCAUGUCAUCUUUGAAUAUGAGUGACAUGCCUAGUUUCAGCAUGCCCUCAUAGAGACCAGCAGACCAGGGCUAUUCUUUCAGGAAGUCUCACGCUGGAAGUAGUGUAUUGGAUGUCUGCACCUGGACUGGAUUGCCCACUGACUCAUAAGAAUAUUGAAAGCUGGUAAACAGCUGAAGACAGGCGGGCUUAAGGAAGCAGCUCCAACCCUCUUAAGGCUCUGAGCAGCUUGAGAGAAGAUCAUUGUAGAGAUGAGUGAGAAGAUUGCAGUCAUUUCUACAUUUGUUUCUAGACAUUCGUUAUCUUCGUUAACCCAUCCACUUGGUGCAUGACAUUUGAGUUAUUUUCCAUGAUUGUAAUAGCUCGUAAUCUACUUCUCAUCAGUUUUAUCUCUGGGUACAGAAAUCACAUAAAUAAGAGGUGAAA